rnacentral:rRNA from 1 species
AUUGAACGCUGGCGGCAGGCCUAACACAUGCAAGUCGAGCGGCAGCGGGACCUUCGGGUCGCCGGCGAGCGGCGGACGGGUGAGUAAUGCCUAGGAAUCUGCCUGUUAGUGGGGGAUAACGCGGGGAAACUCGCGCUAAUACCGCAUACGUCCUACGGGAGAAAGUGGGGGACCCUCGGGCCUCACGCUAACAGAUGAGCCUAGGUCGGAUUAGCUAGUUGGUGGGGUAAAGGCCCACCAAGGCGACGAUCCGUAACUGGUCUGAGAGGAUGAGCAGUCACACUGGAACUGAGACACGGUCCAGACUCCUACGGGAGGCAGCAGUGGGGAAUAUUGGACAAUGGGCGAAAGCCUGAUCCAGCCAUGCCGCGUGUGUGAAGAAGGUCUUCGGAUUGUAAAGCACUUUAAGUUGGGAGGAAGGGUAUUCACCUAAUACGUGGGUACUUUGACGUUACCAACAGAAUAAGCACCGGCUAACUCUGUGCCAGCAGCCGCCGUAACAC